AUUGAACGCUGGCGGCAGGCUUAACACAUGCAAGUCGAGCGAGUGGCGGACGGGUGAGUAAUGUCUGGGAAACUGCCUGAUGGAGGGGGAUAACUACUGUAAACGGUAGCUAAUACCGCAUACCAUCAGAUGUGCCCAGAUGGGAUUAGAUUGUUGGUGGGGUAAUGGCUCACCUAGGCGACGAUCCCUAGCUGGUCUGAGAGGAUGACCAGCCACACGGGAAAGGAGCCACGGUCCAGACUCCUACGGUAGGCAGCAGUGGGGAAGAUUGCACAAUGGGCGCAAGCCUGAUGCAGACAUGCCGCGUGUGUGAAGAAGGCCUUCGUGUUGUAAAGGACUUUCAGAGAGGAGGCGUUACUCGCAGAAGAAGCACCGGCUAACUCCGUGCCAGCAGCCGCGGUAAUAC
rnacentral:rRNA from 1 species